UUUCUAAUCUUGCUCCACUUCAAUCAGAUUACGCUUGUUCUAAUGUCUCUUUCUGAAAACAUGUCAGUAGUAUUCCAUCUCACUCACGGUAAAAUAGCUUGAUAUAAAAUAUAGUACUAUUGUGCUCACAAAGAAUAUAUUUGACUUUUUCUUUCUCAUUCUUAUCAGUCCACCCUAUUAUAUAAACACCUGCCUUUCCCUCUCUAAUAUUACAUAUAUUUUAAUGACUCUGACUAUUGCCUUUCUCCUGUUUUACAGAUGAGACAUCUCAAAAUUCCAGAGCAAAGUAGAAGAAUCUAGUAUUUCUCAAACUGGAGAGAGGGCAAUAAGAAAGGAGAGUUUGGCUGAGGUCAUGAAAAGAAAAAUCUGGCAAAUACUAUCACACCUCACUGUGAGGAGCUGUGCAAAGCUAUGAGAGUCCUGCAAAGAGGACCUGAAAAUCCACGUCACAAUUCUUGCACAUCAACCACUUUCAGCCCAUGUAAACUGCAGACUCAGACUUCAGCCAGAGGUAAGUUAGUAGAGAGAGGGGGGCUUUUUCUGGAGAGAAUCUUUGUUGGGUGCUGAGGACCACCCACCCCUUCACUUUAAGUUUCAUGUGAAAGAAACUUUACAGAGACCACUCAGACAAGUUGUUGUGUGUCCCUGAGAAUAUCAGACACUUCUGAAAAAUCUAACAGAUACAAAUUGUGUGAAGCUCCUUGUGUCUUCAGAGUAGAGAGCUCUGGUGAAUGGUAAGAACCUGUCCACUGACAAAGGGCCAAAGCUAUGCACAUUUCAUUAAUGUGCUGGUAGGGGUGCUGGUAGGAGCUCCUCUAACCUCUGGGGCAGUGUCCUCUCUCCUCUAUGGCAGUCCAGGCCAUCUGUGGUUAGAUCCAGCAUGAUGACUCUUGUUAGAAUGAAAUUCAGGAAUCUGACCAGAGCCUUCAAGGGUUGGUAGCACAGAGGACAUUGCACAAUUAGGACAUUGCAGAAGAAGAAAAUGUCUUUGCACUAGGAAGUCUCAGGGUUUUUCCUCAAACUAUGACUGAAGGGAGUUAUUCCCUUCUCCAUGGUAUUUUCCAGACCCAGGAAUUAAACCAGCGUCUCCUGAACUGCAGGCAGAUUCUUUACCAUCUGAGCCACCAAGGAUGAGGAUUUGCAACCCCAGAAUAUGCUACUUUCGUAUAUUGGUUAUUUUGAGCAAAAGGCACUUGCAAAACAGCAUGCAAAAGGAAACUUUCUCCAAACUCCUUCUGUUUGCUUAAAGAAAGAUCACCCAAAAGGAACUCAGUUUUCAUAAAUCCCCUCUCAGGGGGAUUUAUCUCAUCAUCAAUUUAUGAUUAUCAGUUUAUUUAUCUCAUCAACCAGGUGAGAUUGACUAUUAUCACAGAAGAGGAGCAUUUUUUGCUCAUUUUCCCCCUGGGUAUCUCCUGUGAUCUCCUG
ensembl:lncRNA